CCGGCGACCAAAAUCCGGCCUAAUUCCGGCGACCUCCCGGAACACCCUCUUUGGCAUACCACCAUUUUUUCGGCCUUUUGAUGUGUAAAAUGAUGUUUUCACAUUAACAAGAAGAUUUGAACUCAUCUUGAUUGUUGGGAGCAUGUCCAUUUAAAUAAAUGAGUGCUUAGCUAAAUUUCUUUAUUGUUUAAAUAUAUCUUGUUGUAGUUCAUAUGUAAAAUAAAUCCUUGGUUGAUCAAACACUUUUUUAUUCA